UCUCUCUCUCUCUCUCUCUCAAACAUAAAUAAACAUUACAAGAAACUUUAAGGAUCAGUAGGAGUUGAAGAAAACAGGUUAAGUUGGAUGCUGCUGCAGCGAAGUAAAUAGAGGAGGUGUCAGGAGAUAGAGCUGGGAAGAGCUUUUUUCUGUAAGCCGGCAUUUCCAACAGUGUCUUCUGAGGACUCUGGUCUCGCCUGUUAUUCAGAGAAAACCAUUUUCCAUGUGCUGGUAAAUGUUUAACAAUUGGAUCGCCUGAAAAUAUAAAAAGUCCUGAUUUGUAAUGCUGGCCAGGAAUAGAUGCAGAGCAGCACGCUACUUUGUAGUAUUUCCAGCAUCCAGAUGCAGGAGAUACACGUGACUCCGAGAACAGUGGCUGCACCAGCUUGCAUUCCCAUAACUGCAUCUACAAUAUUACAAAGAAGAAAAACUUAAAUGCACAUAAAUGGCUUGCUGAAGAAAGAAACAGCUUCAUGUCAAGGCAACUUGGAAGUUGGAAGCUGAAGGAAACUGUUAUGUAAAUAAAGAAGACUGAUAAAACAGAAGAAAAUGGGGCAAGUAAAGACACCUUGUUCAGGAAAAAAAAAACAAGAAGGCAUACAAUAAAAAUUACUUCUUUAAACAAA